UACAGAGGUCCCAAGCGUUGUUCGGAUUCACUGGGCGUAAAGGGUGCGUAGGUGGCCAGGUAAGUUUGGUGUGAAAGCUCGGAGCUUAACUCCGAAAAGUCAUUGAAUACUAUCUGGCUGGAGGGUCGGAGGGGAGACUGGAAUUCUCGGUGUAGCAGUGAAAUGCGUAGAUAUGCGGAGGAACACCGAUGGCGAAGGCAAUCCCCUGGGCCUGCACUGACGCUCAUGCACGAAAGCGUGGGGAGCGAACAGG
rnacentral:rRNA from 1 species